GACGAACCGUGGCAAACGUUGUUCGGAAUCACUGGGCUUAAAGGGCGCGCAGGCGGUUUUUCAAGUCAGUGGUGAAAGCCCGGAGCUCAACUCCGGAACUGCCAUUGAAACUGUGAAACUUGAGGAUGAGAGAGGUGAGUGGAAUUCCCAGUGUAGAGGUGAAAAUUCGUAGAUAUUGGGAAGAACACCGGUGGCGAAGGCGGCUCACUGGCUCAGUUUCUGACGCUCAGGCGCGACAGCGUGGGGAUCGAAA
rnacentral:rRNA from 1 species